GUGCUCAAAGGGUAGAACGGCUCUUUUGGAAUUCUCAGAUAUAUUUGGCCAGGUUUACCUAGAGGAGAACACGUUGUUUUUAAUGAAAGGGAUUUAAAGUCACAGUGCACCUUAAGGUGAUGACUUUCUGAAUGGAUGCUCUUUCAUGAGACCCAAGUUGCGAGGUAUAAUUUACAUGCAGUGAUAUGUACAAAUCUUCAGUGAAUGGGUUGAUGAAUGUUUGCCUAUGUAUACCUACAUGUAAUCACUACUCAGAUCAAAAUAGACAACCUGUUCACGACACUGAAAAGUUUUCUAGAGCCCCUUUUCAGUCAAGACCCAUUCCUCCAGAUCAUCAGUGCAACUACUCAUAUCAUCAGUUCUCCCAAUGAUCUGGUCAGACAUGGUCUGAAAUUUAUCUUGGAUCUGCUGCAGGAGUUUCUGCACCACUGAGGUCACAUUCUAAGGAACUGGGA
rnacentral:lncRNA from 1 species